CGGGGGGGGUAAGCGUUGUUCGGAAUUACUGGGCGUAAAGGGCUCGUAGGCGGCCAACUAAGUCGGACGUGAAAUCCCUCAGCUUAACUGGGGAACUGCGUCCGAUACUGGAUGGCUUGGAUUUGGGAGAGGGAUGCGGAAUUCCAGGUGUAGCGGUGAAAUGCGUAGAUAUCUGGAGGAACACCGGUGGCGAAGGCGGCAUCCUGGACCAAUAUUGACGCUGAGGAGCGAAAGCCAGUGGAGCAAACGGG
rnacentral:rRNA from 1 species